rnacentral:rRNA from 1 species
AAUGGGGGCAACCCUGAUCCAGCCAUGCCGCGUGAGUGAAGAAGGCCUUCGGGUUGUAAAGCUCUUUCGGCCGGGAAAAAAUCGCAUGGGCUAAUACCCUGUGUGGAUGAUGGUACCGGAAUAAGAAGCACCGGCUAACUACGUGCCAGCAGCCGCGGUAAUACGUAGGGUGCGAGCGUUAAUCGGAAUUACUGGGCGUAAAGCGUGCGCAGGCGGUUUUGUAAGGCAGGCGUGAAAUCCCCGGGCUCAACCUGGGAACUGCGCUUGUGACUGCAAGGCUAGAGUACGGCAGAGGGGGGUGGAAUUCCACGUGUAGCAGUGAAAUGCGUAGAGAUGUGGAGGAACACCAAUGGCGAAGGCAGCCCCCUGGGCCGAUACUGACGCUCAUGCACGAAAGCGCGGGGAGCAAA